UCCUACGGGAGGCAGCAGUGGGGAAUUUUCCGCAAUGGGCGAAAGCCUGACGGAGCAAUACCGCGUGAGGGAAGAAGGCUCUUGGGUUGUAAACCUCUUUUCUUAGGGAAUAAAAAAAUGAAGGUACCUAAGGAAUAAGCAUCGGCUAACUCCGUGCCAGCAGCCGCGGUAAGACGGAGGAUGCAAGCGUUAUCCGGAAUGAUUGGGCGUAAAGCGUCCGCAGGUGGCAGUUCAAGUCUGCUGUCAAAGACCGGGGCUCAACCUCGGAAAGGCAGUGGAAACUGAACAGCUAGAGUAUGGUAGGGGCAAAGGGAAUUCCUGGUGUAGCGGUGAAAUGCGUAGAGAUCAGGAAGAACAUCGGUGGCGAAGGCGCUUUGCUGGACCAUAACUGACACUCAGGGACGAAAGCUAGGGGAGCGAAAGGGAUUAGAUACCCCAGUAGUCA
rnacentral:rRNA from 1 species